CUUGGACUGUCGUGCGGCGCCCAGGGCUUCUGCCCUCGGUCCUCCGCGGAGCGGCCCCCAGCAGCCAGUUCGUACCAGGAACUGGACUGAAAUGUUGCGAGCAAGGCCUCUGCAGGCGACACCCUUUGAGCAAGUGAAACUAGGCUAAGCACAAAGGAAAGGAAAAAAAGGGAGGAUAACUGAUGCUGUGCACUGCAGGAAAGGAACAGAAGGAGAAACGAACAAGGUCACCAUGAAGAUGAAGUGAGGCUGUGGUAAUAACCAUUUUCCCC